rnacentral:rRNA from 1 species
AUUGAACGCUGGCGGCUUGCCUUACACAUGCAAGUCGAACGGUAACGCGGGGCAACCUGGCGACGAGUGGCGAACGGGUGAGUAAUGUAUCGGAACGUGCCCAGUUGUGGGGGAUAACUGCUCGAAAGAGCAGCUAAUACCGCAUACGACCUGAGGGUGAAAGCGGGGGAUCGCAAGACCUCGCGCAAUUGGAGCGGCCGAUAUCGGAUUAGGUAGUUGGUGGGGUAAAGGCCCACCAAGCCAACGAUCUGUAGCUGGUCUGAGAGGACGACCAGCCACACUGGGACUGAGACACGGCCCAGACUCCUACGGGAGGCAGCAGUGGGGAAUUUUGGACAAUGGACGCAAGUCUGAUCCAGCCAUGCCGCGUGCGGGAAGAAGGCCUUCGGGUUGUAAACCGCUUUUGUCAGGGAAGAAAAGGGCGACUCUAAUACAGUUGCCUCAUGACGGUACCUGAAGAAUAAGCACCGGCUAACUACGUGCCAGCAGCCGCCGUAACAC